AACGAACGCUGGCGGCAUGCCUAACACAUGCAAGUCGAACGAUGCCUUCGGGCAUAGUGGCGCACGGGUGCGUAACGCGUGGGAAUCUGCCUUUCGGUUCGGAAUAACUCAGGGAAACUUGAGCUAAUACCGGAUAACGUCGCAAGACCAAGGAUUUAUCACCGAAAGAUGAGCCCGCGUAGGAUUAGCUAGUUGGUGAGGUAAAGGCUCACCAAGGCGACGAUCCUUAGCUGGUCUGAGAGGAUGAUCAGCCACACUGGGACUGAGACACGGCCCAGACUCCUACGGGAGGCAGCAGUGGGGAAUAUUGGACAAUGGGCGAAAGCCUGAUCCAGCAAUGCCGCGUGAGUGAUGAAGGCCUUAGGGUUGUAAAGCUCUUUUACCCGGGAAGAUAAUGACGGUACCGGGAGAAUAAGCCCCGGCUAACUCCGUG
rnacentral:rRNA from 1 species